GGAGCCCUCCCGACUCUCUUUGUCUUUCUUUUUCUUCAUCCUCACUCCCCCAUUCAGGUGCUGUUCGACAAGUGACGGCGGGCUCUGUCACGGGUGGCGCCCGAACAGGGACCUGAAUACGGGGGACCAUAGUGAAGGACACUGCGCAUUGUGAGCUCGGAUAAAUAAAUUAAGGGCAGUGAAUGCACUCAGGAGUAGCAAGAUGGGUAUUGGUAACAGCCGGCUGCUUUUUGUACAUAUGCUUAAAAAAAUACUUCAGUCUCGUGGAGCAAAGGAUGCUGAAGGUGCCAGGUGGCUGCCUGAAAGAUUGGUCCGUUUUGCAGGAAAUUUUCCUGCCCCUUGGGAUGAUCCCGACAACUGUCCUGCUGAUAAAUCUAAUGGUGACGCUUAAUGAGAAGGUUUAUUGGACUUAUGUACCUGAUCCACCUGUUGUACAUCCAACGAGCUGAAAAAAUGGACAAGUAAUGGUAUGGGUGAACAAUACCAGGCUGUUGCAUGAGCCGGCGGCCCCUGACAAGAACAAGUUCCGAUUGUUCAACUAUACGGGAUCAGAAAUCGGAACCCCCCAUAUGUUUCUUCAAAAUCAACAGACUGAGUGCUCGCACCCUGACAGGAAGGCAGGUAGAUCAGUGCAAAGGCGGGAUCACUGGAGUCCAUCUACAUCUACCUGUGGGUAUGGAGACCACUGGUGUAGUGCCUCAGACUUUUAAUGCUCCAAUAAGACUAUUCCAUGGAAGAGAUGUGUGGCGGAUGCCUCCGUGAGAUAUAAUAUUACUGGACUUGAUACUUAUGUUUUGGACUGGUCUGAAAAUUCUUGUCAUCCCAAAAGAAAUGUCAUUGCAUGUGUCAUGUGCUCUUAUGUAUUGCUUGUAAGAAAUAUUAGUGUUCAGAAAAGUUA